rnacentral:rRNA from 1 species
UACGUAGGGGGCAAGCGUUGUCCGGAAUCAUUGGGCGUAAAGCGCGUGUAGGCGGCCCGGUAAGUCCGCUGUGAAAGUCCAGGGCUCAACCCUGGGAUGCCGGUGGAUACUGUCGGGCUCGAGUCCGGAAGAGGAGUGUGGAAUUCCUGGUGUAGCGGUGAAAUGCGCAGAUAUCAGGAGGAACACCAAUGGCGAAGGCAGCACUCUGGGCCGUGACUGACGCUGAGACGCGAAAGCGUGGGGAGCAAACAGG